rnacentral:rRNA from 1 species
UAGGGAAUCUUCGGCAAUGGGGGGAACCCUGACCGAGCAACGCCGCGUGAGUGAAGAAGGUUUUCGGAUCGUAAAGCUCUGUUGUUAAGGAAGAACGAGUGUGAGAAUGGAAAGUUCAUGCUGUGACGGUACUUAACCAGAAAGGGACGGCUAACUACGUGCCAGCAGCCGCGGUAAUACGUAGGUCCCGAGCGUUGUCCGGAUUUAUUGGGCGUAAAGCGAGCGCAGGCGGUUAGAAAAGUCUGAAGUGAAAGGCAGUGGCUCAACCAUUGUAGGCUUUGGAAACUGUUUAACUUGAGUGGAGAAGGGGAGAGUGGAAUUCCAUGUGUAGAGGUGAAAGGCGUAGAAAUAUGGAGGAACACCGGUGGCGAAAGCGGCUCUCUGGUCUGUAACUGACGCUGAGGCUCGAAAGCGUGGGGAGCGAACAGG